GGGCCCGCACAAGCGGUGGAGCAUGUGGUUUAAUUCGAUGCAACGCGAAGAACCUUACCUACUCUUGACAUCCAGAGAAUUUGCUAGAGAUAGCUUAGUGCCUUCGGGAACUCUGAGACAGGUGCUGCAUGGCUGUCGUCAGCUCGUGUUGUGAAAUGUUGGGUUAAGUCCCGCAACGAGCGCAACCCCUAUUGUUAGUUGCCAUCAUUAAGUUGGGCACUCUAACGAGACUGCCGGUGAUAAACCGGAGGAAGGUGGGG
rnacentral:rRNA from 1 species